rnacentral:misc_RNA from 1 species
GAAAAAGUACAUGGUAGACCAUAUGAUUUCAAACAAAUUCUCAUUGUUUGUCUUAUUCAGAAUUCAGCCAAAAAGAAAGAUGGAAAAGUAGCUUGUGGCAACUCAUCUAGUUUUUGUCACAAAAAGGUUACUCACUAGAGAAUCAAAUUGUUGAACAGAUGAUAAGUAGACCUUGCUGGAACCCAUGCUAUUGCAUGGAGUUACAUGUGAUUUAAUAUUCUAAUAAAUUAAAGUGAUUCAAUUAAUGAUUAAAAAGUCACACCACAGAUAAAGAAGACUGAAAGUACAGACGUGGUAGAGAAGAACUCUCUCAAUCUCUCUUGCAUUAACUUGUGCCAAUGCACUGUGAUUGCAUACUCCUUUCUUUGGUCUCGUGGUCAACCUGCUUAAUAUUCUUAUUCAUGCUAUUUUCACAUGAUAAGUAAACCAAAAAGAUAAGAAUCUAAAGACAAGACGACUAAACCUGCUAAUGACAAUUGACAACCAACAUGGGAGAGUUAACAAGUUACGUUAAUCCACUUGGGGCUGGGAGUCAUGAGUUCUAAUCCUUUGAAACCCGAACAACUAAGCCAGUCGGUGUAUUGACAGUUUUAAGGUGACCUGAACCAAUCAGGUCACGAAGGUGAAAUCUCAUAUCAAGGGGAGAAAAUCGAAGACACUUCUUCUCUAGAGGGGCCAACAUGAUUUCUUUAUAUCUCCUCCGGUUUAAAAGAGAAAGAAGUUCCUUUCUCCCCUGUGAAUAAAGAGUUCAAAAUAACUUGUAAAGUUUAUUCAAAUUCAGACAUUUUUUGAACCAUAAAGCAUCUUGAAUCUUAGAUAAACUACUACUAAAUUGCUCUCUCCUGUUAAGUAAAUACAGAAUACCAAAAGCAGUAAAAAAAAUCCCAAAAGUUCAAUUUUACUUGAGGCAUUUCUGUUUAAAUCUUUGGAUUGCAUUUGGAUAUGCAGGGAACUGACAUGAAAAAUUUUACUAGAUAUGUUAUUUUUAAAUUACUUAAAAUGAUAUUAAGAUAAGCAUUUUUUUUUUCUCUUUUAGUGGGGUAGAUUCAUGUAUGUGAAUGGAAAUUAUUUGAGUAUGAACUUGAAAUACGUAAUAAAAGGUGAGAAUUCCAACUAUAUCAUUAGCCGUUACAUAUUUUUAAGUGUCCAUGUGUCCCUACUUUACAAGACCAAGCUUUCUUUGUACACUGAAAUAAAAAAUCAGUUCCAAAUCCUUUGCAUUUCCAAUUCCUUAUCAAUACAAAACCUUGUAGAAUUUUUUGUUAGAUGAGUACAUAUAAGAUCAAGAUUAUUACUAUAAUAUUUGGAAUUCCUACAAAAAAAAAAUCCAUAAAAGUUGAGAGAGAAAAAAUAAAGCAUUUCUGUACCUGAGAGAGGCCCUUGAGUACUGAACCAAUAUUUGGAACUGCAAACCAGAACAUGUUUGGAUCAAUCAGUUGGCGAGUGAGAAGCCCAGCAUUGAUCAAAAGGGAGAUGUGGUCAUCCUUCACCUUUCCUCCAUGGGAUAAGAGUAAGCAAAGCUCUUGAUGGUCAAUACUAGGUUCCAGAUUGACGUCAAUAACAUGAUUUCUAAACCAAUCAAAAACUUCAAGAUCACCUUGCUUCUUUUCCUCCAUUCUUUUCAUGACAUGUUCCAUCUGGCUUAGGUAGUCAUCCAAAAACAUUAUGGCAUGAUCAUCUUGUCCAGUGUUUAGUUUGAAAAUGCGCAAUUGUUUAUCCCUCCUCAGUGACUCUAAUUCUCUAUCUACUUGGGUUCUGUCCUUCACACAGCUAUACAACUGUGAACGCAAAAUGAAAGGCCGAAUUGAGACCUUGUCAAUGUUGGGAAACUGAGCUCGAAUUAUGCGAAGCGCCACCAACGUAUCACUAAAUGUGAGACUUUCCUCAAGUGAUAGGGUCUGAUCUGCAUCGCUACUUUCAGCUCUAAUCUCUUCUUCUUCUUCUUUUUCUUCUCAGACUGCUCUGGGUCGAGUGAUCCAGCUUCACCUUUAUCACUGUGCUCCUUUUUCUUAACCUUCUCAGUCUCCCUUUCCUCUAAAGUUUCUGCUUCACUGUCUUCUUUACUCUUCUUUUUCUUCUUCUUUUUCUCUUUCUUAUCAUCUUCACUUUCUUCAACCCUCCCUUCCUUCACCACAACUGUCUCUUCCUUUUCAACUUCUUCGGCUUUAACUUUCUUAGCAGGAACUUGAACAGUAGGGCUAUCAGUGCUUUCAUCCAAUUUGCGCUUGCGCCCCUCCCCAUCUUCACCAUCCUUCCUUUUCUUCUUCUUCUUCCUCUGCUUGUCAUGUAAUGCCUUAUCCCCAGAUCGCAAAUCCAACUUUCCCAGUUCGGAUCGUACUUUAUUGAGCUUACAGAGGAGGAGAGAUCAACAAAUCUCUAAUUGCGGCGAAAAGGUUUCGGCUUUACAGUGUUCCCAGACCCCCAAAUGCCGGUGGUGCCGGAGCGAUGUCAUCGACGAUACCUGCUUCACCAGAGCUGAGGCUUUGAGAUUGCCCCAACAGGUCUUUUCCUGUGAUUGAAUUUCCUCUCUGUAUCUCUAAAUUUUCUUCAGAUCUGUUGCUUUCCGGCUGUGGGUCAUGGGUUUACUUCAUAUCUUUUGAUCUCCAUGUAUAUGGCUGCUGGGUUGGGAGUCGGGACACUAAAAGUUUUAAAGAUCAAUACUGUGCCGAUUGUCUUUAAUACUUAUUUGAGUGUAUUUUAAUUGAACUUGCGGAUUGGUUGGGUUUGUAAUAUGUAUCAGAGAUUACGUUACAGGGUGUAUUGGAAAAUUUGAAUCUAAUGC